AGAAACCAAAAUCGUGUCAAACUGCAACUCACUUUCUAAAAAUCCAGGAAAAUAAGGAGAUGAUGUGUUUCCUCCAAUCUCAUGGCCCCAAAAGGGAGGACUUUCUUCAGGAGGACUGUGGCUUACCGAAUGUACUGAGUGGCAGGACCCUUCCCUAUUUACCAGAAAUGUCUGAGCCUCUUUCCUCUUCAUCUUCGAACGUCGUUGGCCAUGUUCUUAAAGGAAUGUACCAGUAGGUUCAUUAUUCCCAUCUCAUCCUCCGCAGCUGUUGCUGAGGAACAGCCAGAAAACAGACAGUAAAAGUCUUUUGAAUUUGUUAAAACUUGAGCUGCUGAUGAAAACACCCCCCGAGAGCCCAGAAUUGGACUAAUCGAAAUUAGAGAGGAAAAUACUCAAAAGAAGUUUUCAGACUCGGGCAUCUAACGCUAGGAGCCUUAAAUACGUGGCCUAGUUUUCAAAAGCACUGAGCACUCUCAGCUCCCCGUGAAGCUAGUUCAAGUUGUGGGAGCUCAGAACCCUGAAAAUUGAGCCAUUACAAUAUAGGUGUCUAAUUUUGAAAAUGUUGACCGUAGAUCUCUGGAGUCCAAACCCCUAAGUGCCAGUACAAGAUUAUUCCCUACCAUAUGAGUUGAAUUUUCAGAGAUGCUAAGCACCUGCAGUGGCAUGUAAAGUCAAUGGGAACUCCAAGGAUGGGGUUAUCACAGAUUUUUAAGGCACGCACUGAAAAAAAUUCCUACAACUGACUAUGUGUUUUCAACUAAGGACAAGUUUUUUAAAGAUACAAUCAGAGUUUAUAACAGUAGAAGACUGUAUAUGUAGGUAGUCUGGAAUAGUAAAACUGAAAUUUUAAAACCAUUAAUCAAUUUUUGUACGCUCAACAGAAGAAAAAUUUCUUCCAUAUAACUUUAGAUAUUUACUCACAAUAUUCGAUGUCAUCUUUAUACCAAGUAACUUUUCAAUUUAAAAAAAAUCAAAACUGUUAUCACAGAAUAAUUGGGGAUCUGUUAGGAAAUUUUAGAGACUUAGUAACUACUUCCCGAAAACCUCAAUACCUGUCUCCAGAUUUAGUCUCACUUUAUUGUAAACUCUGAUUGUGAAUUAGCUGGUUUCUAUGAAACUUCCUUGUUUGCUACAUAUGGAGCAAUAUAUAACACAUAAAAGGAUUGAUCCUCUGCAAUCAAUUCAUAUAUCCCUCUCUCUUUGAAAUAAAUGGGAGAGAUUUUAUUCAUGUGUAGAUAUUGUAGAAUCAGGGUUACCGGUAACAAGUACUUACGAAUGUGAUCUAUUUUCCCCCUAUGUGAAUUAUGUCUUUGCAUUUUGCUUUUAAUAAAGGGUCUCCUUCCUCUCAUUGAAUAUUUUUGAGUAUUAAGCUCUGAGAGCUACUGUUCAAUGGAUGAUGGAUCAGGUCCUAAACUUCUUACCUUUUAAUCAGCUAAACAAUGUUCUUAUAUCAAGAUUUUUUAUAUUCAGGUUGUAUUUUCCCCCAGAGUGAGGAACAGAGUCUGAAUAAGAAUUAUAACUGCAUAUAUUUAAAAUAAAUUAUUCUGUAUUAUAUUGUAUGUUGAAUAUUCACUUCCUGAUUUCCAUAUAUCUCCUCAGUGUGGGAUAUUGAAUAAGGUCUUUCUUUCAGAGUUUUACCCAAAAUAGAACUAUUUUCCUUAAUUUGGUUUCUUUUCUAUUAUAUUUCAUCCGUCUUUACUAUUGUUUGCACUUUAACUCUAGCUUGGAUGAAGGAUGUCAGGAGUCAUUCCUAGGCUUAGGGUCAGAGAACCUGAACCUACCAGCAGAAUUAGGCUUUUCUAGGGAUUUGCAAUAUUUUGGAAAUUUUAGUUUGUUUUUUAAAAGAAAAGAUCAUGGUGAAUGUUUCAGAGACCCUAUAUACAAUAAAUCAUCUUGAUUUUCUUAUACCACCUGCAUGAUAGAACUCAGGAAUACUGUAUCACUUUAUUAAACUGAGAAAUAAGAAUUAAGGACUAGAUCUAGCCCCCACCGAAGUCAAUGGAAAGCCUUUCAUUGAUUUCAAUGGCCUUAAAGCCUGGAAUACAACUAAAAACGUACAAUGAGGCAGCAUAAUAAUAGAGAUUUUAACUUGUAUUAGUGAUCCUUUGUACUGGAGUCAAAUCAGUUGUGGACUUCACAGAUAGAAGUGUAAAGAGUACAGACGCAAGAUGUACAAUAAGAACAUAGUACUGUCCUUAUUUCCAUGGGAUCUGGGUAUGUGAGGGCAGAACUUGAACCUUGAACUUUUGAUUUGUAUCACUUUUUAAAUAUUAUGCUCAA